rfam:Asian citrus Psyllid, Diaphorina citri - Florida Strain, whole genome shotgun sequence.
AGCCUAGUCAGCUUGGUUGGCAGAGCGUCUGCCUUGUAAGCGCCAGGCCGCGGGUUCGAUUUCCGCCCGGGCCG